AGAGUUUGAUCAUGGCUCAGGAUGAACGCUAGCUACAGGCUUAACACAUGCAAGUCGAGGGGAAACGACAUCGAAAGCUUGCUUUUGAUGGGCGUCGACCGGCGCACGGGUGAGUAACGCGUAUCCAACCUGCCCACCACUUGGGGAUAACCUUGCGAAAGUAAGACUAAUACCCAAUGACGUCUCUAGAAGACAUCUGAAGGAGAUUAAAGAUUUAUCGGUGAUGGAUGGGGAUGCGUCUGAUUAGCUUGUUGGCGGGGUAACGGCCCACCAAAGCAACGAUCAGUAGGGGUUCUGAGGAGGAAGGUCCCCCACGAUUGGAACUGAGACACGGUCCAAACUCUACGGGAGGCA
rnacentral:rRNA from 1 species